CGCGGUUAUACCAAGUGAUUAAGUUAUAUCUUUAGGUAAAAAUACAGUUAGGUUUAAAAUAAAAUGUUUAUUGACCAUUUAUAAAAAAGUAAAAUUUGUAUAUAGAUAGUUAAUCCAGCAAUGACUAAUUUAUUACUGAAGCUGUGAUAGUCUUGAGGGAAACUGGGAUUAGAUACCCCAUUAUUCUUGACUGUAAAUUUAAUUAAAUUUACCAGAGUACUAUGAAUAGUUAAAAAUUUAAAACUCAAAGGGCUUGGCGGUGUUUUAGACCUAUCAGGGGAACCUGUCUCGUAAUCGACAAUCCACGUUACACCCAACCUUAUUUUGUAUUCAGUUUGUAUACCGUCGUCGUCAGGUAACUUUUAAAAAUAUAGAAGUUAGCGAUAUAAAUAUUAUAAAUUAAGACGUCAGAUCAAGGUGCAGCCUAUAGUAAGGGGAGGAUGGGUUACAAUUAUUAAACUUAUAAUUAUGAAAAUUUAAGUGAAACUUUAUUUAGAAGGAGGACUUGAAAGUAAAUUAAAAUAUAUAAAUAUAUUGAAUGAGGCUCUG
rnacentral:rRNA from 1 species